rnacentral:rRNA from 1 species
AUGUUCGAGUAUCUAAAUGUUGUCAGCAAGAUGUUUGAUAGUGAGGCUGAAGGCUAUGAAUUCUACAACAAAUAUGCUCUUGAAAAAGGUUUUAGUGUGAGGAAAAGCUACGUUGAGUGGGAUGGAUCCAACAAAUACAUAAUUUUAAGGAAAAUUGUGUGUAGUCGUCAAGGGUUUCGCGAAGAGAAGCACAUGAAAAGAAAGAUGGAAGAUAGAAAGAGGAGGCCACAAAGUUUAACUCGUGUUGGGUGUAAUGCUAAAUUGGUCAUUACGAGACAGGAGGAAACCGGUCGGUGGUUUGUCAAGGAUUUCAUCGAUGAGCACAGCCAUCCUCUAGCCCCACGGGAUCUUUCUUGUUUGCUGCGUUCGCACAGACGAAUUAGCGAUGAGCAGAAAGCGGACAUUGCGGACAUGGAAAAAUGUGGGAUCCGCAAAUAUCGUAUUAUGGAUAUUUUGUGCUUUCAAUACAGUGGAUUUGGUAAGGUUGGAUGCAUAAAGAGGGACAUUUAUAAUUUCUGCCAUGCUAAUAAGCAGGAGACAAUCAGUGCCGGUGAUGCUAAUACGGUGAUCAUGCACAUGAUGGCGAGGCGAGAGCGAGAUGUGGAUUUUUUCUUCAAGUACUUGGUAGACGAGCAUGGCCAUCUGAAGGGACUGUUCUGGGCUGAUAGUCAAUCGCGACUUGACUACGAGGCUUUCGGAGACGUCAUUGUUUUCGAUAGCACAUACAGAACCAACAAAUACAAUCUGCCAUUCGUGCCGUUUGUCGGGUUGAAUCACCACCGGAGCACUGUCAUUUUUGGCUGUGGUAUAAUUUCUCAUGAAACAAGCCAGGCAUACGAGUGGAUGUUGCGGACCUUUUCUGAUUGCAUGGCACAGAAGCAUCUGAUAUCUGUGAUCACAGAUGGGGACCUUGCAAUGCAGAGAGCAAUCAGGGUGGUCUGGCCAGACUCAAACCAUAGACUAUGUAUAUGGCACAUUCAGCAGAACAUUGUACGCCAUCUGCAUGAUGACGACGUAAAGGAGGAAUUUAGAUCUUUCAUUUAUGAUACUUCUUCCAUUGAAGAGCAUGAGAUAGAAUGGAUAUACUUCUUACAACGGAAUAAAGUAACCAGUGAGGAGUCUUGGCUGCAUCAGAUGUAUCAAAUGAGAAAGUUGUGGUGUGCUCCAUAUCUUGAGGGGCGUUGUUUCCUAGGAUUGAGCAGCAAUCAGAGGAGUGAGAGCUUGAACUCUGUGCUACAUACGCAUCUUGACGGUAAGAUGUCGUUGUUUGAAAUGCUAGAGCACUAUGAGCGUUGCCUUGCGUCGCGACGGAUUAACGAAGCUCUCCAUGACGACAAAGCCUUGAAGUCCGUUCCAUUUACAGAGGAAAAUGCUUCGCCGCUUGAGAAACACGCCGCAACAGUUUUCACACCUAGUGUCUUUAAGAUGGUCUUAUGGAGCAUAGAUGCUGUCAGCAAAUGUCAGAUCAGAGAGAUACUAGAUGGAUCAGAAGAUUCCACUUAUGUUGUGUCCAAGCAGGAAAGAAUGGAUAGAAAGUUUGGAGUGCGCAUUGAAGAGCAAGGAGGUCUUUUGCACAGGGUGAGUUGUUCUUGCCGUAAGCUGGAAUGCGCAGGCACAACAUGUUCCCACAUUUUUUACAUAUUGGGGAUUUUAAAACAAACAAUUCUGCCGAGUUGUUGCGUUCCCACUAGGUGGACUAUGAAUGCAAAAUGU